rfam:Picea glauca, whole genome shotgun sequence.
UGCCUAGAGAAUAUCAUUAAUGCAUCGGAUCUCAUUAGAACUCCACAGUUAAGCACACUCAGGCUAGAGUAGUAAUAGGAUGGGUGAUCGCCCAAGAAUUCCUAGUGCCUAUGGAAU